AUGAACGCUAGCGACAGGCUUAACACAUGCAAGUCGAGGGGCAGCACAGGUAGCAAUACCGGGUGGCGACCGGCGCACGGGUGAGUAACGCGUAUGCAACUUACCUAUCAGAGGGGGAUAACCCGGCGAAAGUCGGACUAAUACCGCAUGAAGCAGGGGUCCCGCAUGGGGAUAUUUGCUAAAGAUUCAUCGCUGAUAGAUAGGCAUGCGUUCCAUUAGGCAGUUGGCGGGGUAACGGCCCACCAAACCGACGAUGGAUAGGGGUUCUGAGAGGAAGGUCCCCCACAUUGGUACUGAGACACGGACCAAACUCCUACGGGAGGCAGCAGUGAGGAAUAUUGGUCAAUGGGCGUAAGCCUGAACCAGCCAAGUCGCGUGAGGGAUGAAGGUUCUAUGGAUCGUAAACCUCUUUUAUAAGGGAAUAAAGUGCGGGACGUGUCCUGUUUUGUAUGUACCUUAUGAAUAAGGAUCGGCUAACUCCGUGCCAGCAGCCGCGGUAAUACGGAGGAUCCGAGCGUUAUCCGGAUUUAUUGGGUUUAAAGGGUGCGUAGGCGGCCUUUUAAGUCAGCGGUGAAAGUCUGUGGCUCAACCAUAGAAUUGCCGUUGAAACUGGGGGGCUUGAGUAUGUUUGAGGCAGGCGGAAUGCGUGGUGUAGCGGUGAAAUGCUUAGAUAUCACGCAGAACCCCGAUUGCGAAGGCAGCCUGCCAAGCCAUGACUGACGCUGAUGCACGAAAGCGUGGGGAUCAAACAGGAUUAGAUACCCUGGUAGUCCACGCAGUAAACGAUGAUCACUAGCUGUUUGCGAUACAGUGUAAGCGGCACAGCGAAAGCGUUAAGUGAUCCACCUGGGGAGUACGCCGGCAACGGUGAAACUCAAAGGAAUUGACGGGGGCCCGCACAAGCGGUGGAACAUGUGGUUUAAUUCGAUGAUACGCGAGGAACCUUACCCGGGCUUAAAUUGCAGAUGAAUUACGGUGAAAGCCGUAAGCCGCAAGGCAUCUGUGAAGGUGCUGCAUGGUUGUCGUCAGCUCGUGCCGUGAGGUGUCGGCUUAAGUGCCAUAACGAGCGCAACCCUUGCCACUAGUUACUAACAGGUAAAGCUGAGGACUCUGGUGGGACUGCCAGCGUAAGCUGCGAGGAAGGCGGGGAUGACGUCAAAUCAGCACGGCCCUUACAUCCGGGGCGACACACGUGUUACAAUGGCGUGGACAAAGGGAAGCCACCUGGCGACAGGGAGCGAAUCCCCAAACCACGUCUCAGUUCGGAUCGGAGUCUGCAACCCGACUCCGUGAAGCUGGAUUCGCUAGUAAUCGCGCAUCGGCCAUGGCGCGGUGAAUACGUUCCCGGGCCUUGUACACACCGCCCGUCAAGCCAUGGGAGCCGGGGGUACCUGAAGUCCGUAACCGAAAGGAUCGGCCUAGGGUAAAACUGGUGACUGGGGCU
rnacentral:rRNA from 1 species